GAGGCAGCCGGCAAGUGCAAAGGCUGCAUCUGUACUUACUGUAAAGGUAACACAGUUCCUGUCACACUCUAUCUAGAGGACUGCAUAGCUACAGCUAAUAGGACAGCAACAGCAAGGCAAAGUAAGGAAGGAGAGACACAGACUGCUGCUGCAUACACUUGUCUAUAUAUUGCUCUUUGUGGUCAAGAUAAUACACAGAACCUCCACAAAGCAGACAGAGAAGAUCAAGUUUCAGUAAAUGACCUGUUCAAACAGCAAGAGCAGUCUGCAAGAACCUGAACACAAGAUGCUUUUCUCCCUGUCUCUCUGUCUCUCUCUUGCCUCCUGGCCCAUAUCCUCUGAAUUACAGUCUAGAGCCUCGAGGGAGCCCAUCCUCCAAUUUGAGGAUGCUACUGCACAGAAUCAAAAACCUAACAAACAGAAAACUGUGUUUCUGAACCUAUUCAUAAUGAAUUCAAAAUCAUACAAAACAUAGGUAAAUAACAUAUUUAAUGUUAAGAACAACUCGAUUACUGGUUUCAUUAAAAUUCUUUCUCUAAAUGA